rnacentral:rRNA from 1 species
AACUGAGCUAGCUGUAUCCCGAGUAGCACGGAGCACGUGGAAUUCCGUGUGAAUCUGCGAGGACCACCUCGUAAGGCUAAGUACUCCUGUGUGACCGAUAGCGAAACAGUACCGCGAGGGAAAGGUGAAAAGAACCCCGGGAGGGGAGUGAAAUAGAACAUGAAAGCUUAAGUUUACAAGCAGUAGAAGAACGACUAAACGUUCGACUUCGUACCUGUUGAAGAAUGAGCCGGCGACUUAUAGGUGGUGGCAGGUUAAGGUAGAAAAUACUGGAGCCAGAGUGAAAGCGAGCUUUAAAAGAGCGUUAGUCACCAUUUAUAGACCCGAACCCGGAUGAUCUAACCAUGGCCAGUGUGAAGCUUAGGUAACACUAAGUGGAGGCGCGAACCGACUGAUGUUGAAAAAUCAGCGGAUGAGUUGUGGUUAGGGGUGAAAUGCCAAUCGAAUCCGGAGCUAGCUGGUUCUCCCCGAAAUGCGUUUAGGCGCAGCGGUUAGUGCUAUAGCUUAGGGGUAAAGCACUGUUUCGGUGCGGGCUGCUAACGCGGUACCAAAUCGAUGCAAACUCUGAAUACUAAGUGUGAAACUAACCAGUAAGACUGUGGGGGAUAAGCUCCAUUGUCAAGAGGGAAACAGCCCAGACCACCAGCUAAGGCCCCUAAAUGAUUACUAAGUGAUAAAGGAUGUGGGAAUGCUGAGACAAUCAGGAGGUUCGCCUAGAAGCAGCUAUCCUUUAAAGAGUGCGUAAUAGCUCACUGAUCAAGUGCACCUGCGCCGAAAAUGAACGGGGCUAAGUAAUCUGCCGAAGCUGUGGGAUCUUUAUGAUCGGUAGGGGAGCGUUCCAUAAUAGAUAGAAGCAUUAACGAAAGUGGGUGUGGACGAUAUGGAAGCGAGAAUGUCGGCUUGAGUAGCGAAAACAUUGGUGAGAAUCCAAUGCCCCGAAAACCUAAGGGUUCCUCCGGAAGGCUCGUCCGCGGAGGGUGAGUCAGGACCUAAGGUGAGGCCGAAAGGCGUAGCUAAUGGACAACGGGUUAAUAUUCCUGUACCGUUUAUUAUUGAUAUCGAGGGACGGAGAAGGCUACACCAGCCGGAUGUUGGUUACCGGUUUAAGCGUAUAAAACGUUAAAAAAUGGAGAAAACAUUUUAAGUCAAAGCGUGAAUACUAGAUACUACGGUAUCGAAGUGGUCUAUGUCAUACUUCCAAGAAAAGCUCGAAAUAUCUUAAAUAAUAAAUGCCUGUACCUUAAACCGACACAGGUAGGUGGGUAGAGUAUACCAAGGGGCGCGAGAUAACUCUCUCUAAGGAACUCGGCAAAAUAACCUCGUAACUUCGGAAGAAGAGGUGCCCUUUUAAAGGGUUGCAAUAACCAGACCCUGGCGACUGUUUACCAAAAACACAGGUCUCCGCUAAUUCGUAAGAUCAAGUAUGGAGGCUGACGCCUGCCCAGUGCCGGAAGGUUAAAGAAGUCGGUUAAUCCUCGGAUGAAGCUGGCGACUGAAGCCCCGGUGAACGGCGGCCGUAACUAUAACGGUCCUAAGGUAGCGAAAUUCCUUGUCGGGUAAGUUCCGACCCGCACGAAAGGCGUAACGAUCAGGGUGCUGUCUCGGAGAGAGGCUCGGCGAAAUAGACAUGUCUGUGAAGAUGCGGACUACCUGCACCUGGUAUUAUCGUGACUGG